UGAUUUUUGAACAUUUUUCAGCCCUCUGGACCCUUCGGGGUUGUAGAUGGUCUAACUUUGGAUAAGACUGUAUACGCGUCUAUGUACACCUCGCUUGGAAACUUGAUCCAACUGCAUGUGAAAAAUGUGGCAGGUUUAAUAUUGCAGAACCCAAUGGCGAGAGUCAAAUCAGUCUUAUCAAAAGCCAGUGUAAGAGGCAUAGUUGGGUAAGCACUUUUACACACAGUACUGUUUUGCCCAAUUCCCAUGUGAUCCAUGCAUGUUUUGUUUUUUUUAGUAGUGUAAGCAUCCAGUAAUUGGGUGCAACUUUAGGUAUAAGGUAGAAUUGUUCAAAUUCCUUGUGAUCCAUAUGCAUGUUUUUUCUUGGUAAAGUUUGAAAGAGUUUUCCUAAACACAUUCCUUUUCGUUAUUCUUCAUUUUACACAUAUAGAUAAUAAAAAUUUAACGUCGUGAAAUUGAAACUAUUUAAAAAAAAAUAUGCU
rnacentral:lncRNA from 1 species